AAAAACAUCGCCUCUUGUAAGACAUAAGAGGUCCGACCUGCCCAGUGACACUAGUUAAACGGCCGCGGUACCCUAACCGUGCAAAGGUAGCACAAUCACUUGUUCUUUAAAUCAGGACUAGUAUGAACGGCCACACGAGGGCUAUACUGUCUCCCUCCCCCAAUCAAUGAAACUGAUCUACCCGUGAAGAAGCGGGCAUAUCCUAAUAAGACGAGAAGACCCCAUGGAACUUAAAACUAAUAUCACUGCCACAACACACCACAUAAGCAACAUGAAUACUAGUCUUUCGGCUGGGGCGACCACGGAGAAAAACAAAACCUCCAUGAUGAAAGGCUACCCCCUAAUCUUAGACCCACCAAUCCAAGAAUCAAUAAAUUGACUAUUUGACCCAACACUUGAUCAACGAACCAAGCUACCCUGGGGAUAACAGCGCAAUCCAUUUCAAGAGACCCCAUCGACAAAUGGGCUUACGACCUCGAUGUUGGAUCAGGGUACCCAAGUGGUGCAGCCGCUACUAAAGGUUCGUUUGUUCAACGAUUAAAACCCUACGUGAUCUGA
rnacentral:rRNA from 1 species